rnacentral:rRNA from 1 species
UACGUAGGGUGCGAGCGUUAAUCGGAAUUACUGGGCGUAAAGCGUGCGCAGGCGGUUUGCUAAGCCCGAUGUGAAAUCCCCGGGCUUAACCUGGGAACUGCAUUGGUGACUGGCAGGCUAGAGUAUGGCAGAGGGGGGUAGAAUUCCACGUGUAGCAGUGAAAUGCGUAGAGAUGUGGAGGAAUACCGAUGGCGAAGGCAGCCCCCUGGGCCAAUACUGACGCUCAUGCACGAAAGCGUGGGGAGCAAACAGG